rnacentral:rRNA from 1 species
GAACCGUCCAAACGUUAUUCGGAAUCACUGGGCUUAAAGGGUACGUAGGCGGCUUGGGAAAGUUGGGUGUGAAAUCCCUCGGCUCAACCGAGGAACUGCACUCAAAACUGCCAGGCUUGAGGGAGAUAGAGGUAAGCGGAACUCAGGGUGGAGCGGUGGAAUGCGUUGAUAUCCUGGGGAACACCAGUUGCGAAGGCGGCUUACUGGGUCUCUUCUGACGCUGAGGUACGAAAGCUAGGGGAGCGAACGGGAUUAGAUACCCCGGUAGUCCUAGCUGUAAACGUUGAGCACUGGAUCGGAGGAUUUCGGUUUUCCGGUCGUAGCGAAAGUGUUAAGUGCUCCGCCUGGGGAGUAUGGUCGCAAGGCUG